AUUUUAUGUUUUUCUACGUGUUUCUGUGCACCUGUUCAUUUCAGAAUUGUUUUAUUAUUUAUGAGGAAUAUUUACUCUAAACGUCCCUAAUGAAUAUUUUGAUGAGAAAAUACGUCAGUAAACGUCCCUGUGAUAGCAAGAGGCCACCAUGUUAUUACAUAGUUAAAUGCUGUUAAUGACCUAAUGUUGACAAUGACCAUAUACAGUCUCUCAGAUCUAUAACAAUUCAAACCAGCGGUUCAUAACAGCACUUGAAGUCAUUAACCUGUUUUGCCGUGUUUGCCCACAUUAGAUGCAUUAUUUGUGUUUCGUUGCUUCGUAGCUAUAAACAGAGGUAAUUCUCUAAAAUAUCAAAAACUCUAUGUUCUAUAACAUUGCUUUGUCAACCAACAACAACAUCCAAAUUUCCAAACAUUUAAAGUAUUAUUGUUGAUUCGUAAAGGAUAGGAUUUGACGCAAAACAAAUUCUAUAAAAUGUUGAAUAACUGGGGCAGAUGGCAUGAGUGUUUGUAUAUACUCAAUACGGCACUGCACACUAGAGGAAACAGCCUUGGCCAGCAGUUGCAAGUAAAACGUUGCGAAAGCCACAACUCUGUUGUUCGUCUGACUUAGCUUUACUGUAUAUCCUUGGAUCUAUGCAAUGAUGAGUUUAAUGAUAUGGUGGUUAUUGUGGCUGUUAUUUGGUCAAGGAUUCACAAUGAAAAUGGGUUGGAAUGAAGAACUUGAGUUUUGUGAAGAAGAAUGGAAGAAAUUUGUGGCGGACAAAAUUGAAAUCGAUUCGAAAUGCAACAAUACUCGUACACGUUGUUGUGUUGAGGAGAAGAAAUAUCUCUUGGAGCGAUUUAAAAUGUUUAGUGAAAUAUGUCCACUUGAAGGGACAUGUGGAUGCAGCCCGAUUAUUAUGAACGUUACUGCGCCAUUCUACGGAUAUCGU